UCCACUUUAGAAAAGAUCAAAGAAUUCCACUUAUGUACUUGUUGCUCUUUGCUUGAAAGUAUUCUCCUUAAUUAUGCAGUAUGGUUCUGGUACGGAGACAUCAGGCCGACAAUGUGCACUGUACUGCAUACAGCUAGAUGAAUAAUGGACGUAUUUUGCUCCAAGAGAUUUCAAUUUUCCACCCAAGUAGCUGUAGUUGCUGCACGUUGUGAAAAGAUCCAUGCCCAAAGCGAACUCACUUGUUUUGACCAUGACUGGUUUUUCGUCGUUCAUGUUUUCAAAGUGGUUGGCUAUUUGGGUGGAGUGCUAUUUCUUGUUUUUGCGGUAGUGACAUUCAUCGGAGUUUUCUAGAGGUCUUCAGACUGCUGAAAGAGUGAGCUCAGAGCUCGUGAGGUGUGAUAUUGCUUGCGGACUUUGGUUAGAGCGACAAGAUCUAAAUAGGCUGGAAAUAAAGGUGCUGAAGAUUCACCAUAGGCCUCUUCUUUAUCGCUUGUUUUCAUGUAUAUUCACAACUGCAAACGAGCUUGACUUGAGGUAUGUAAAAUGAAGGGUAUAUGCUGAGAACUUUGUCUAGGCAUAGGUGCAUUUUUCUUAUUUGAAGCUUCACUGGCCAUCGAAUCUCAUCAUCAA